UUAGUUGUGGCCUACUGGUUAGGGCUUCGGGCUUGGAACUGAAGGGUUGCCGGUUCGAUCCCCGGCCAGUAGGA
rnacentral:tRNA from 1 species